rnacentral:rRNA from 1 species
AUUGAACGCUGGCGGCAUGCCUUACACAUGCAAGUCGAACGGCAGCACGGGGCAACCUGGUGGCGAGUGGCGAACGGGUGAGUAAUGCAUCGGAACGUACCUUUCAGUGGGGGAUAACGUAGCGAAAGUUACGCUAAUACCGCAUAUUCUGUGAGCAGGAAAGCAGGGGAUCACAAGACCUUGCGCUGAUUGAGCGGCCGAUGUCAGAUUAGCUAGUUGGUGAGGUAAAGGCUCACCAAGGCGACAAUCUGUAGCGGGUCUGAGAGGAUGAUCCGCCACACUGGAACUGAGACACGGUCCAGACACCUACGGGAGGCAGCAGUGGGGAAUUUUGGACAAUGGGGGCAACCCUGAUCCAGCCAUGCCGCGUGAGUGAAGAAGGCCUUCGGGUUGUAAAGCUCUUUCGGCCGGGAAGAAAUCGCACGGGCUAAUACCCUGUGUGGAUGACGGUACCGGAAUAAGAAGCACCGGCUAACUACGUGCCAGCCGCCGCCGUAAGAC